GACGAACGCUGGCGGCGUGCUUAACACAUGCAAGUCGAACGGAAAGGCCCUGCUUUUGUGGGGUGCUCGAGUGGCGAACGGGUGAGUAACACGUGAGUAACCUGCCCUUGACUUUGGGAUAACUUCAGGAAACUGGGGCUAAUACCGGAUAGGAGCUCCUGCUGCAUGGUGGGGGUUGGAAAGUUUCGGCGGUUGGGGAUGGACUCGCGGCUUAUCAGCUUGUUGGUGGGGUAGUGGCUUACCAAGGCUUUGACGGGUAGCCGGCCUGAGAGGGUGACCGGCCACAUUGGGACUGAGAUACGGCCCAGACUCCUACGGGAGGCAGCAGUGGGGAAUAUUGCACAAUGGGCGGAAGCCUGAUGCAGCACCGCCGCGUGCGGGAUGACGGCCUUCGGGUUGUAAACCGCUUUCGCCGGUGACGAAGCGUGAGUGACGGUAAUGGGUAAAGAAGCACCGGCUAACUACGUG
rnacentral:rRNA from 1 species